rnacentral:rRNA from 1 species
ACUCCUACGGGAGGCAGCAGUAGGGAAUCUUCCGCAAUGGGCGAAAGCCUGACGGAGCAACGCCGCGUGAGUGAAGAAGGAUUUCGGUUCGUAAAGCUCUGUUGUUAGGGAAGAAUGAUUAUGUAGUAACUAUACAUAGUAGAGACGGUACCUAACCAGAAAGCCACGGCUAACUACGUGCCAGCAGCCGCGGUAAUACGUAGGUGGCAAGCGUUGUCCGGAAUUAUUGGGCGUAAAGCGCGCGCAGGUGGUUUAAUAAGUCUGAUGUGAAAGCCCACGGCUCAACCGUGGAGGGUCAUUGGAAACUGUUAAACUUGAGUGCAGGAGAGAAAAGUGGAAUUCCUAGUGUAGCGGUGAAAUGCGUAGAGAUUAGGAGGAACACCAGUGGCGAAGGCGGCUUUUUGGCCUGUAACUGACACUGAGGCGCGAAAGCGUGGGGAGCAAACAGGAUU